AGCGGCGGAUGGGUGAGUAACACGUGGGGAACCUGCCCCUAAGUCUGGGAUACCAUUUGGAAACAGGUGCUAAUACCGGAUAAUAAAGCAGAUCGCAUGAUCAGCUUUUGAAAGGCGGCGUAAGCUGUCGCUAAGGGAUGGCCCCGCGGUGCAUUAGCUAGUUGGUAAGGUAACGGCUUACCAAGGCGACGAUGCAUAGCCGAGUUGAGAGACUGAUCGGCCACAUUGGGACUGAGACACGGCCCAAACUCCUACGGGAGGCAGCAGUAGGGAAUCUUCCACAAUGGACGCAGGUCUGAUGGAGCAACGCCGCGUGAGUGAAGAAGGUUUUCGGAUCGUAAAGCUCUGUUGUUGGUGAAGAAGGAUAGAGGUAGUAACUGGCCUUUAUUUGACGGUAAUCAACCAGAAAGUCACGGCUAACUACGUGCCAGCAGCCGCGGUAAUACGUAGGUGGCAAGCGUUGUCCGGAUUUAUUGGGCGUAAAGCGAGCGCAGGCGGAAAAAUAAGUCUAAUGUGAAAGCCCUCGGCUUAACCGAGGAACUGCAUCGGAAACUGUUUUUCUUGAGUGCAGAAGAGGAGAGUGGAACUCCAUGUGUAGCGGUGGAAUGCGUAGAUAUAUGGAAGAACACCAGUGGCGAAAGGCGGCUCUCUGGUCUGCAACUGACGCUGAGGCUCGAAAGCAUGGGUAGCGAACAGGAUUAGAUACCCUGGGUAGUCCAUGCCGUAACGAUGAGUGCUAAGUGU
rnacentral:rRNA from 1 species